CUGCGGUACCCUGACCGUGCGAAGGUAGCAUAAUAAUUUGUCUUAUAAUUGAAGAAUGGUAUGAAUGAUUUAACAAAGGUGUGGCUGUCUCUUAAGUAUUUAAUAUAAGUUGACGUUUAGGUUAAAAGGCCUAAGUAAAAUUGAAAGACGAGAAGACCCUGUUGUGCUUGUAUGAAUAAAUAAAUGUGGAUUAAAAAUAUUAAAAAAUAAACACAGUUGAUUUUGAAUUUUGGUUGGGGCGACUGAGGAACAUUAAAAGCUUCCUUUAUAAUAAAUUAACAAUGUUUUAUUAAUCCAAAAAAUUUUGAAUUGAGAGUAAGUUACCAUAGGGAUAACAGCGUUAUUUUUCUUGAGAGUUCUAAUCGAAAGAAAAGUUUGCGACCUCGAUGUUGGAUUAGGAGCUAAGAAAGGUUGUAAGGGCUUUUUCGUUUAGUCUGUUCGACUAUUAAAAUCCU
rnacentral:rRNA from 1 species